rnacentral:lncRNA from 1 species
GUGCCCAAUCCAUCUCCACUUAGAGCUCCACCUCGCUCUGAGCUCCUCCUAGCUCUUGAAGCUCCAUCUCGCACUGAGCUCCCCGUCAUGUAGUAAUAUCCUCUCAUCCUCUUUUUUUCCUCCAAAAUAAUCCUAUCACUAUGCAACACGUUCAGGAUUCCUCCACUAGCUACCGUCCUGUAGUCUCUCGAAUCCAGUCUGCUCAGUAAGAUAAGAUUUCAUCUGAAAUUGGAUAUGUAUCGGACCUCC